GCUCGGCCUGCAAGGCUGUUGUUUCAAGAAAUGAAAAUGAAGGGCGCCCUGGAAUAGGUUCGCCGAAGAGAGAGCUUGCAGGCCUCUGGGAAGCAAGCCAUCGUGUGGCAGAGGCCCAGGUGGCAAGGAACCAAGGGCGGCUUCUGGCCAACAGCCAGCGAGGACCUGAGACCGUAGCCCAACACCCCUCCAGGAACUGAAUUUUGCCAGCAACCAGUGAGUGACCUUGGAAGUGGAUCCUUCCCCCGAAAGCCCGGCUUUCAGACGGAGGCUGGUGGGACCUCAACCCCAGCUGGUAUCCAGGCUCUUGACACCAUCUGGAGAAGGAAUUCAAGAGUGUGUCAGAAAAUGAUGAAAGUACAAAGAUUUAUUGCAAAGCGAAAAAUACACACUCAAGAAAGGGGAGUAUGGGUGGACUCAAGACAGAGUCCGAUGGGACUUGGGGUUUCUACCUUUUGGGUUUCUUUUUUUUUUUUU
rnacentral:lncRNA from 1 species